rnacentral:rRNA from 1 species
AGCCCACAAGCUAGCUCCUACCCCUAAAUUCAUCAACCCACUAUUCAUUAACCCCAAAAACCUCAAACGCCAACAAUCAAACCAUUUUUCCCCUCUAGUACGGGCGACAGAAAAGGACAUAAUGAAGCAAUAGAAAUAGUACCGCAAGGGAACGCUGAAAGAGAAAUGAAACAAACCAGUAAAGCAUAAAAAAGCAGAGGUUAAUCCUCG